UGAAGGGUUACCUCUUCUGUCUUUGUACAUAUUACUUUUUAUAUGAUCAGUUUCCUUAUAAUAAUUACAGUGUAAAAGUGAAUAUUUCUAUUUCCCUAGUGAAGGGUUAAAACAUGCUUUAUGAACUCUUAUGUGUUUGCAAUGGAUGCUGCUGCCCUGUGUUAGAUGCCUUUGUCUCUCAUACAGAUACCAGGCUUGCGUGGGUCUGGCAUCCAAGGUCAGCUCUACACUAGAUGAAACCUGCUUUUUCUACUUCUGUGUGUUACUAAAAGAUCCUUUGUUAAGUUCCGUCUGAUGCAACGUAUAUAACAUCUGCCUAGCAACUGCUAUAUCCAAUUAUGUUAUGUCAAGUAUUAACCACCCCUACGUACCCCACCCAGGAACCUACCCCUAAGCCAAUGAGCCCUUUUACACUUGUCAGUUCCACCCAUAUGCAUUGUCUUAUAUACUCUUGUUAACUUUAUAAUAAACAGUGUGAAUUUUAACUGCUUGUGUGUGCAUGUACCUUGUGGUUAAAAGUUUACACUCCAGACGUCUGUAAGGCCAUCACAUCGAGGGUUAAAGAAAAUAAGGUCAAAUCCUUUCAGCUGGGGGUUAUGUCCGGGAUUCAGUGAUCGUCCCUGAAUAAUAAAGAUAGAAGAUUUAUUGUCUGUCUUUGCUAUGCGGGAUUGCGGUCAUACACUGAAGCUGAAUCCGUGUCAGUGUUCCGGGAACACGUGACAAGGUAAUAUUUAAGUCCGGGACUUAAUAUUACGAAGUUUUUAAAACAGGUAUCAGGGAUACCAUAGAAUCUUUAAUGUCUGGGACUUAAAGAUACGUCUGAGAAGGGACCAGGGGUCCGAGCGCACUUCUCCAAAGACGAACCUACACACCCCUUUAAAGUCGGAGACAGAGUCGUGGUGAAGGUGCUCCCCAGGAACAAGAGCCCAGGAGACUUCACCUAUGGUCCAGAGACAGAGGUCGUAGCAGUUACCCGGACAGCAGUCCUGACAGAGGAAAGUCCUACCUGGAUCCAUGCAUCCCGAGUAAAAAAAAAGGUUCCUAGACCAGACCUAGAGAGGGAAGCAAGUGAUUCCAGUGAGGUACGAACCGGGGCAGACAGCCCUGACCUCCCACCUAGCGAAGAAAGAAGAACAGAAGAAGAUGAGGAACCUGUCCCCUAUCUUUAUCCUGGGGACUACCUUGAUAGCCCUACUGGCCCUCACUCACCACACAAUAUGUGAGGUUGAUAUUACACAGACUAAUGGGAUCCCCACCUUGUGGUACAAUUCCUCCAAUACACACGUAGCCACAUAUAUCCUUGACUAUUUUAUGUUCCCCAAAAUUGCUGAUGACAAAUAUUAUAUACAACAAAGGAGGAAAUCAGGAAUGUCUGAGACAGUAUAUAUUUGUGUUACUGACGAAUGGUACUAUGACAAUAGAUAUUAUGGAUCUAAUUGUAAUUCCUGGGAAGCUGUGGGGUGGAAUACAGGAGUAGAUUGGAAAUAUGGCCCAUCGUUUGCAAAGAAUAGAUGGAGCAAAUAUGGAGUACCCCUACUUUCUAGACUAUCCAUUCAUAAGAUGGAUGAAGGCCCAAAUUCAUACAGGUCUAGACUAAACAUAGUGAACCCUAGCAGAAGCGACAAUGAGACUUAUGUACUUGGUAUAUGGUGGCAAGCAGGGUAUUAUAGUGCAAGGCAAAUGUUUUAUUUAUGGGAUAUGUAUAAAAACCCAAAAUACCAGCCUAAAAUUGCUCCCCAAAACAAACCUUUAAAGCCCCAUAUUGCCACUUUUAAAGAUAUGGUGGCUAUUACUAACCCUACCUUUGAAGACACCCUAGCUAUUGAAACUGGUUUCUCUGACAUUAAUUUUUGGUUGGAAUGGAUGAAGUAUAGUGCUAACAAACACAAUAAAAGCAACUGUUAUGUCUGUGGCAAAUCUAGGCCCCACCUAGGUACAGUGCCCCUUAAUAUACCCCUAGAACAAGAAAAUUGUUUUUUUUCAGCCUUUUUAAUGACACCAAAACAAAUGACAGUCAGUGCGAAAUGUGGAAAAGGGAAUAUCCCAUAUUGUCAAAAAAUCCCAACCCAGGAAGCACCAUAACCAUAUAUCCUGGAAACUACACUUGUUAUACAUCUAACACCACAACAGGGAGAAAUUUAAAAACCUUCCCACCAGGGUAUUGUGCAAAUAAAAGAACAACUGUUUUAGUCAACCAAACUAGAUCAUUAGGCGACAUUUAUUACAUAUGUGGGAAACUGUAAAUAAAAACGUAGCCUGGAUUAAUUAUAUAUAUUAUAAUCAACAAAGAUUUGUUAAUGAUACCAAAGAUGCUCUUAAAGGUAUAGCUGAACAGCUAGAAGCCACUUCCCAAAUGACAUUCCAAAAUAGAAUGGCCCUUGACAUGAUCCUAGCAGAAAAAGGCGGUACAUGUGUUUACAUUAGUAAGGUGGAAGGCUGUUGUACAUAUAUUCCUGACAACACUGGUCCCAAUGGUAAGGUUACUUUAGCCAUAAACAAGUUAGAAACCUUAUCCAUAGAACUUAAGAAAAAUUCAGGUAUUGAUAACCCAUGGAGCCAAUAUUUUGGGUGGUUUGAAAAUUGGAAACAGGCUCUUGUGCAAAUAAGCAUAUUUAAACUCAUAACUUUAAUUCUUUUAGGCAUUAUAGUUUAUUGUGUAAUUCCCUGUGGAGAGAAACUUACCUCCAAAGGCAUUGAUAAGGCCCUGAUGUAUUAUGACAUAACCACCAGUCCUGUCACCUCCUCUGAUAGUAAGGGACCCGACGAUUAUGUCCAAUAUCUCAAGAACUGGAGAAACAAGAAAGGAGCCUCACUCAAGAAUCAUGUCAUAUAAUAAUCAUGAUUCUAAGAGGGGAUUGAAGGGUUACCUCUUCUGUCUUUGUACAUAUUACUUUUUAUAUGAUCAGUUUCCUUAUAAUAAUUACAGUGUAAAAGUGAAUAUUUCUAUUUCCCUAGUGAAGGGUUAAAACAUGCUUUAUGAACUCUUAUGUGUUUGCAAUGGAUGCUGCUGCCCUGUGUUAGAUGCCUUUGUCUCUCAUACAGAUACCAGGCUUGCGUGGGUCUGGCAUCCAAGGUCAGCUCUACACUAGAUGAAACCUGCUUUUUCUACUUCUGUGUGUUACUAAAAGAUCCUUUGUUAAGUUCCGUCUGAUGCAACGUAUAUAACAUCUGCCUAGCAACUGCUAUAUCCAAUUAUGUUAUGUCAAGUAUUAACCACCCCUACGUACCCCACCCAGGAACCUACCCCUAAGCCAAUGAGCCCUUUUACACUUGUCAGUUCCACCCAUAUGCAUUGUCUUAUAUACUCUUGUUAACUUUAUAAUAAACAGUGUGAAUUUUAA